UCUUUCUUUCUUUUUUUUCUUUCUUCCUUCCUUCCUUCCUUCUGUCUUCCUUUCUGUAAUUCUGCGGGAAGAGAGAGACCACGUAGACAGACAGGGAAGGAACAAUUA
rnacentral:ribozyme from 11 species